UAAACGAUGCCACCAGUAAUUCGCCUGAGUUCCUUAAAUGACUCGGCGAGGGACUUCCGGGAAACCAAAGUCUUUCGGUUCCAGGGGAAGUAUGGUUGCAAAGCUGAAACUUAAAGAAAUUGACGGAAGGGCACCACCAGGAGUGGAGCCUGCGGCUUAAUUUGACUCAACACGGGAAAACUCACCCGGCCCGGACACUGGAAGGAUUGACAGAUUGAGAGCUCUUUCUUGAUUCAGUGGGUGGUGGUGCAUGGCCGUUCUUAGUUGGUGGAGUGAUUUGUCUGGUUAAUUCCGAUAACGAACGAGACUCUAGCCUACUAAAUAGAUCGUCGGCUUACAAACGCCGACGAGACUUCUUAGAGGGACAGGCGGCGAUUCAGCCGCACGAAACAGAGCAAUAACAGGUCUGUGAUGCCCUUAGAUGUCCGGGGCCGCACGCGCGCUACACUGAAGUGAUCAGCGUGCUUUUUCAACCUACUCUGUCAAGAGUGGGGAACCCAAUGAACCUUCUUCGUGAUUGGGAUAGGGGAUUGUAAUUAUUCCCCUUGAACGAGGAAUUCCCAGUAAGCGCGAGUCAUAAGCUCGCGUUGAUUACGUCCCUGCCCUUUGUACACACCGCCCGUCGCUACUACCGAUUGAAUGUUUUAGUGAGGUCUUCGGACUGGCCGGUGCAGCUACUCUUGUAGUGGCAGCGCUGUGUUUGGAAAGAUGCCCAAACUUGAACA
rnacentral:rRNA from 1 species